UACGGAGGAUGCAAGCGUUAUCCGGAUUCAUUGGGUUUAAAGGGUGCGUAGGCGGGAUAAUAAGUCAGUGGUGAAAGCCUACAGCUUAACUGUAGAACUGCCAUUGAUACUGUUAACCUUGAGUACAAUUGAAGUGGGCGGAAUGUGUCAUGUAGCGGUGAAAUGCUUAGAUAUGACACAGAACACCGAUAGCGAAGGCAGCUCACUAAACUGUAACUGACGCUGAGGCACGAAAGCGUGGGGAUCAAACAGGAUUAGAAACCCUAGUAGUCC
rnacentral:rRNA from 1 species